UGAAACUUUCCCGCGAUUGUUCUGACCGUGGAGCAGCCCGUCAUAUUCUUGGAUGACCCUGUUGAUGACUAGGUCCUGUCCACGCCAGCCAGUGUGCCCAAACAGACCCAUGUGGCACCAACACAUGCCUUCCUAUGUGGACUCCAGAUCACUCCAGUUGUAACCAACUUCAGUCCGCCUACCACAUCCUGGGUUGCACAUCCUCCUGGGCCAGCGUAGGCAGGAAAAGACGCCGGGGCCCUCCUCCCUUGCCUCCCUUUGAAAGGAAAAGCCUGAGCCCUUUCCCAGCAGAAAUCGCUUGUUCCUCCUUCGCAUCGGGUGAUGUGGGGAUGUCCGAGAGACUUUCCUCAGGCUGCCAGAGGUCUCCUGGAUGGGAGUUGGCAUUUCUGCUUGGACUUUCACCCCCAGAAAAGGAGAAAAUUCCCCUCAAACAGUCCCUUGGAGGGCUCUAAUUUCACUGGGAAACCUCAGGAAAAAACCAAUCAGUCCACAAUUUCCUGCUGUCCCUUUCCACAGGCCACACAGACCGUAUGGAAGGUGACCAAGUUCUCAGUGUGUGACGUUUCAAGACCGAACCUCAGGAGACUCCCUCACCUUUGGACUGUAGAUGAAUGGGCACAUCUGGAGGAUUUUCUGCCUGUGGAUCUUUGUCCCUGCUGGAAAAUAGCCUCUUGGGAGAAACGGAGUCCCUUCAGCCUUUGAACAGUACCUCCUACUCAAGCCUGGAACAAUCAUCUCCCCUUCAGGUGAGUUACCAGCAGCUACUUAAAAAAUACUCUGACACCCAUCUUAGGCACUCUGCAGUGAAUUUAACCUUCAGAGAUCAUUCAAAAUGCGAACAGAAUGAUUACUUUUUUUUUUUAUUAAACAUGAUCGUUUCUCCAAACUCCUGAAGAUAACGUUUUAUGAGAAUAGCAUUCAAAUAGAUUCCAAGUUAACACAGCCUCCACGCCCCUUUUCUUGGAAAUGAGCUCUCUGCGGUAUGCCAGAAAGGAAUUAGUGUAUUGUGACGACCUAUGGGGGAAAAAAAAAAAGGAUGUGCCAUAUUUACAUAUUGCUGGUACCUGUAUGCUUUAUUUAUUGCCAAACUUCUCAAGCUGUUUGUUUUUGCUCUGCUGUAUGUUGAGAGGGACUCCAGGGUCCGGACGGUGCCCGCAACCUUGUGCUGGGCUCUCCGCUCUCCAGGUAGGGGCUCGGAUGCAGACCCUCCCACUGCUCUGAGGAGGGGGGACCAAAACCCUGCAACCGCAGCCAGGCCCAGCCUAUCUCGCCACCCCUUUUUUCACACUCUCUCCAGAAUGGUCACUUUGUUUCCAAGAUCAACGCUCACACAAACCAAAAAAUCUUAGCCUCUCGCUGUCCUUCCACAUUUCUUUGACCCCCUACAAAAAAUAUAUAACAUGUGUCAUGAUAAAACAAUCUCAUCUAAAAAUCAUUCUUAUUAUACACUAUACAAGCUAUUUUACAAUCAUUGUAAUAAAUUGCAUUUAAAGCUGCAGUAGCCCUUCCCUUUUCUUCCUAGAUUAGUGAAUAUACCAAUAUGAUAUAUAUCUGAAACUAGAACUAAAUAUAAAAAUAUAUUAGAAGUUUCAUAUUUUAAUAUUAUUUAGAUGAUUUGUUUUUCAGUUUCUAUUACACAGAUAAUUUGGCCACUGAGUAGAAAUCAAAUUUAGAGUGGCUUUAGUAAAUAUGUACGUUUUGACUUGACAGAAAGGUCGUAAGGUGCACACAGAAAGGGCUACUACAGCUUCUAAAUUGUUUAAAAUAGAAUUAUCAACGGUGACAAGGAGAAAUUCACAAGACUUAUGGUAAUUAUAUGGCACACUUAGAGUAAUCGAUGAGAAGAUGGAGCCUCACAAAGACAAGAAGUCAGACACAAUUCCAAACCACAAACUCAGUAGCUGAACUUCCCUGGACUCCAGGAAAGAUGAACUGAUCAGUGACAGAUGGGAAUGUGAAAAUGGGCGCCUAACCACGGGUACACCUUUCCAGCCGGUGACCUGGAGGACGGAGCCGGGACCUGCUUUAUCGCUUGGGCCAACCGCGGGGGAGGGAGGAUUAGCGAGAGGAAACGGCCUUUAGAGUCACACCCACAAGUGCCAGGGGCGAGCGGGACCUUUCCAACUGGAUCUCUGCCUGGGAGCCUUUAAGGAUGGAAUAAGACUGAAGUUCUCUGCUUGGAAGCAUAACUCCGUUGAAGUCAUGCUGGACGUUCUCAACCGGAACGCUCUUCCUAGUCACCCGGCUCAAGGCUGGCCUUGGUACAGCUGGGGCUUUAAGUGCUUGCUCGUCCUUUGAAGAGAUUCACCACCAACAAGUCUACUUACGGAGCGCCUGCCCGGGGCUUGGCCACGGCUCUGGGCUCCAGCAGCCAGGUGGGAUAGUUCCAUUGCACAGACCUGUAUAUUCAGUGUGUUGAUGCCGAUAUAUACAAAAUGGGACUUUUCGGUCGAGUUAAUAGGCAGAGACUGGCAAAGUCUCCCGACAGGUUAGAUGGCUGUGGUUUUGCCUGCCGGCCCAAAGCCAUCACGGUAGAAGCACCGACCCAUUUUCACACACGGGAUACGUCGAGAUUCAUGUUUAGAGUUCCUUCCGGAAAGCUGGGAGCUAGCUGCCCACCUUGAAAAUAAACAGCUGUACAACAGGCAACUUGAAUACAAAAAAUGAUGUAA